rnacentral:tRNA from 1 species
GGGGGGCUAGCUCAGUUGGUUAGAGCACUUGCUUGACAUGCAAGAGGUCGACGGUUCGAAUCCGCCGUCUCCCA